UGGUUGGAGAAACUGGGGUUUAGUUUUUAAGUUAAAGUUAAUGAUUUCUACUUGUAUUUUUUUACAGUAUCCACACCUUGUGAUUUCAGCUGAGAUAGGGAAGAGAAAGUAGAAAAAAAGUGUGUGUAGGAGCCCUCUCUGGCAAUUUUUCUUGCCCAGCUCAAUCAAAGAAUUGGAAAUCUUAUGAGAGAAAGGUGGAAAGCAAAUGUUCUUGAGUGAUUUGCAGUUUGAUUUUCAAAGCAGUGAGCUACAGAUAAGACUGUUUUGCUUGCAGUCAGAUGUUUACCUGAACUGGAAUGCUAUGCCAAUAUAAAGGACUCAGAAAUUGUAGAAUACAACACAAAGGAUUACUGGUAAUUUCUGCAGGAAAGGUCUGCUCAGCAAAAUGUCCUUCUGUGCAGAGAACCACCAGCUGGCUCUGAAUGACUCUUGCUGCAGGUGCAGAGAACUUUCUGUGCUGUGAAGAGACCCACAGCACAACCAAAGGAUGUGAGGAAAACUGCCUCUACAAGGAGAACAUCAGAUCUUUUCCCUCUCCACUGAACAUCCUGUGUGCUCCCCUCAGGACUUGUGAUAGGUCAGUGGAGAAGAGCUGGUGAGUAUGGUCAGAUAAAGCAAAGGAGAUUUGCCUUAGUAAGAGCUACGUGGGAAAGUCAUCCUUGGCUCAUGGGCUUAUGAUCAUCACAAAUAGCUUUACUGCAAAACCAGAAGCAACACAAAUUUAUAUUUUUCUGUUAAGACGACUUAAAAGUCAGAUGAGUUGAAAAAAGGGGAAGAAAAUCUCUCUAGGUUCAGUAAGUGAAAACAAAAGGAGGGAAUAUAAUAAUGUACAAUCACAGCUCUUCCUCAGUGUGGCAGCAGCAUCUGUUAAAAAAUGCAGGACACUUAAAACUGGCAAGGUCUGAAACUGUGGUUGAGCUGCAAAACUGGACUGUAUCAGAGAAAUGAUGGCU